GACGAACGCUGGCGGCGUGCCUAAUACAUGCAAGUAGAACGAGCGGCGGACGGGUGAGUAAUGUCUGGGAAACUGCCUGAUGGAGGGGGAUAACUACUGGAAACGGUAGCUAAUACCGCAUACCAUCAGAUGUGCCCAGAUGGGAUGAGCUAGUAGGUGGGGUAACGGCUCACCUAGGCGACGAUCCCUAGCUGGUCUGAGAGGAUGACCCACCCAACUGGAAAUGAGAAACGGGCCAGAAUCCUAAGGGAGGCAGGAGGAGGGAAUAUUGCACCAUGGGCGGAAACCCGAUUGAGGCCUGCCGCGUGUAUGAAGAAGGCCUUCGGGUUGUAAAGUACUUUCAGCGGGGAGGCGUUACCCGCAGAAGAAGCACCGGCUAACUCCGUGCCAGCAGCCGCGGUAAUAC
rnacentral:rRNA from 1 species